UGUGCCCAGAUGGGAUUAGCUAGUAGGUGGGGUAAUGGCUCACCUAGGCGACGACCCCUAGCUGGUCUGAGAGGAUGACCAGCCACACUGGAACUGAGACACGGUCCAGACUCCUACGGGAGGCAGCAGUAGGGAAUCUUCCGCAAUGGACGAAAUCUGACGGAGCAACGCCGCGUGAGUGAUGAAGGUUUUCGGAUCGUAAAACUCUGUUGUUAGGGAAGAACAAGUACGAGAGUAACUGCUCAUACCUUGACGGUACCUAACCAGAAAGCCACGGCUAACUACGUGCCAGCAGCCGCGGUAAUACGUAGGUGGCAAGCGUUGUCCGGAAUUAUUGGGCGUAAAGCGCGCGCAGGCGGUCCUUUAAGUCUGAUGUGAAAGCCCACGGCUCAACCGUGGAGGGUCAUUGGAAACUGGGGGACUUGAGUGCAGAAGAGAAGAGUGGAAUUCCACGUGUAGCGGUGAAAUGCGUAGAGAUGUGGAGGAACACCAGUGGCGAAGGCGACUCUUUGGUCUGUAACUGACGCUGAGGCGCGAAAGCGUGGGGAGCAAACAGGAUUAGAUACCCUGGUAGUCCACGCCGUAAACGAUGAGUGCUAAGUGUUAGAGGGUUUCCGCCCUUUAGUGCUGCAGCAAACGCAUUAAGCACUCCGCCUGGGGAGACGC
rnacentral:rRNA from 1 species